rnacentral:sRNA from 1 species
CGUGGCUCAUUCGCCUGUCUGUGAUUGCCCCGUAAUUUACGGCAGAGCUCACAGAACCCUGAAUGACGCACCAAACGGAGCCUGCCGUCCACCUGACCGAUAAUCGUCUGCAUUGCAGCGUUAUCAAGCACCGGACGUAACGUUGAGUUAGGCUCCACCUU